rfam:Plasmodium inui San Antonio 1 unplaced genomic scaffold supercont1.19, whole genome shotgun sequence.
UUUCAGGCUUCACUAGAAGCCAUUCAUCACUUAUUGUAGAUGAGUCU